CAUCCCUAUACCAUGGAACUACCACCUCCAUGCUGAAUUGUGGGUGUGACACAUGGUGCUUUCAGACAUUCACCAGUUUGUCUGUGGACAUAGACUCUGCGUUUUGAACCAAACAGUUCAAACUUGUUUCUAGUCAUCAUAAGUCCAAUUUUUGUGAGCUUUUGCCCACUCAUAUCUCUUUUUCUUGUUCUGUGGACGAAGUAGUGUUUUUUUUGCAGAUACACAACCCUUCAGACCAGCCUUUCACAAACGUCAUUUCACGGUUGUCAGAGAUAUGGGUUUCGACCUUGUCAUGUUGAUUUCUCCCUUAUUUUUGGUGCUGUCUUUUGCCAAUCUCUCUUACUGGUGACAAUGCUUUGUUUAUCCUCUGCUUUUGUAUUAACUCUCUUUUGUCCAGGCACACACUCAAAAGCCAGUAAGUAAAAGUGAAUAAUGUGAAGUGAUUAGUUUUUUUUUUUACUUUUACACUGAAUUUGUGACUCUAGCUAAUCUUCUUGAACCUAAAACUAAGCCCUUAUUAUCUUUUGCUGACAUAUAUUCAGCAAUGGUCUGUCAACAUCAAUGUAUACCUAAAGGUAAAUUGAGGAAAAUGGUGCAUAUCAAUGAAAGCAAAGUCUAG